GAUGAACGCUGGCGGCGUGCCUAAUACAUGCAAGUCGAGCGAACAGACGAGGAGCUUGCUCCUCUGACGUUAGCGGCUGACGGGUGAGUAACACGUGGAUAACCUACCUAUAAUACUUGGAUAACUUCGGGAAACCGGAGCUAAUACCGGAUCAUAUAUUGAACCGCAUGGUUCAAUAGUGAAACACGGUUUUGCUGUCACUUAUAGAUGGAUUCGCGCCGGAUUAGCUAGUUGGUAAGGUAACGGCUUACCAAGGCAACGAUGCGUAGCCGACCUGAGAGGGUGAUCGGCCACACUGGAACUGAGACACGGUCCAGACUCCUACGGGAGGCAGCAGUAGGGAAUAUUCCGCAAUGGGCGAAAGCCUGACGGAGCAACGCCGCGUGAAUGAUGAAGGUCUUCGGAUCGUAAAACUCUGUUAUUAGGGAAGAAAAAAUGUGUAAGUAACUAUGCACGUCUUGACGGUACCUAAUCAGAAAGCCACGGCUAACUACGUG
rnacentral:rRNA from 1 species